UUAAAUUUACUCAUACUACCACAAAUUAUAGUUUUUAUAGCAAAAUUUUAGUGGGGAAUUAUUUUUCCCUACUAAAAAAUACUAUAAUGCGAUUCUUUUGUGGGGAAAUACUAAAAAUUAAAGCCUCCGCUUCUUCAUUGUUGAUUCAACCUUUGUUGCAUCCAUCCUCCUUGUCUCCUUCAUAUGUAUUGAGUCUUCAUCAUCGGUACCUGUUUGGCUCUCCUCGCUCUCGUCUAUCAUCUUUCACAGUCUGGAUUCUUCAGAUCUCUUGUGCCCUCUUCGCAUCUGAACGAA
rnacentral:misc_RNA from 1 species